rnacentral:tRNA from 1 species
GGAGAGAUGGGUGAGUGGCUUAAACCAGUUGUUUGCUAAAUAACCGUACGGGUAAUACCGUACCUCGGGUUCGAAUCCCGAUCUCUCCGCCA